rnacentral:rRNA from 1 species
GAUGAACGCUGGCGGCGUGCCUAAUACAUGCAAGUCGAGCGAACAGACGAGGAGCUUGCUCCUCUGACGUUAGCGGCGGACGGGUGAGUAACACGUGGAUAACCUACCUAUAAGACUGGGAUAACUUCGGGAAACCGGAGCUAAUACCGGAUAAUAUAUUGAACCGCAUGGUUCAAUAGUGAAAGACGGUUUUGCUGUCACUUAUAGAUGGAUCCGCGCCGCAUUAGCUAGUUGGUAAGGUAACGGCUUACCAAGGCAACGAUGCGUAGCCGACCUGAGAGGGUGAUCGGCCACACUGGAACUGAGACACGGUCCAGACUCCUACGGGAGGCAGCAGUAGGGAAUCUUCCGCAAUGGGCGAAAGCCUGACGGAGCAACGCCGCGGGAGUGAUGAAGGUCUUCGGAUCGUAAAACUCUGUUAUUAGGGAAGAACAAAUGUGUAAGUAACUAUGCACGUCUUGACGGUACCGAAUCAGAAAGCCACGGCUAACUACGUG